UACGGAGGAUCCAAGCGUUAUCCGGAUUUAUUGGGUUUAAAGGGUGCGUAGGCGGAUUGAUAAGUUAGAGGUGAGAUGUCCGAGCUCAACUCGGGAACUGCCUCUAAUACUGUUGAUCUAGAGAGUAGAUGCGGUAGGCGGAAUGUAUGGUGUAGCGGUGAAAUGCUUAGAGAUCAUACAGAACACCGAUUGCGAAGGCAGCUUACCAAUCUAUAUCUGACGUUGAGGCACGAAAGCGUGGGGAGCAAACAGG
rnacentral:rRNA from 1 species